AUUGAACGCUGGCGGCAUGCUUUACACAUGCAAGUCGAACGGCAGCGCGGGGCAACCUGGCGGCGAGUGGCGCACGGGUGAGUAAUAUAUCGGAACGUACCCAGAAGUGGGGGUUAACGUAGCGUAAGUUACGCUAAUACCGCAUACGAUCUACGGCGGAAAGUAGGGGACCGCAAGGCCUUAUGCUUUUGGAGCGGCCGAUAUCUGAUUAGCUAGUUGGUGAGGUAAAGGCUCACCAAGGCGACGAUCAGUAGCUGGUCUGAGAGGACGACCAGCCACACUGGAACUGAGACACGGUCCAGACUCCUACGGGAGGCAGCAGUGGGGAAUUUUGGACAAUGGGCGCAAGCCUGAUCCAGCAAUGCCGCGUGAGUGAAGAAGGCCUUCGGGUUGUAAAGCUCUUUUGUCAGGGAAGAAACGGUAGAGGCUAAUAUCCUUUGCUAAUGACGGUACCUGAAGAAUAAGCACCGGCUAACUACGUG
rnacentral:rRNA from 1 species